UGUGGUGGAAAGAUUUAUCGGUGCAGGAUGGGCCCGGCCUAUCAGCUUGUUGGUGGGGUAAUGGCCUACCAAGGCGACGACGGGUAGCCGACCUGAGAGGGUGACCGGCCACACUGGGACUGAGACACGGCCCAGACUCCUACGGGAGGCAGCAGUGGGGAAUAUUGCACAAUGGGCGGAAGCCUGAUGCAGCGACGCCGCGUGAGGGAUGAAGGCCUUCGGGUUGUAAACCUCUUUCAGCAGGGACGAAGCGUGAGUGACGGUACCUGCAGAAGAAGCACCGGCUAACUACGUGCCAGCAGCCGCGGUAAUACGUAGGGUGCGAGCGUUGUCCGGAAUUACUGGGCGUAAAGAGUUCGUAGGCGGUUUGUCGCGUCGUUUGUGAAAACCCGGGGCUCAACUUCGGGCUUGCAGGCGAUACGGGCAGACUUGAGUGUUUCAGGGGAGACUGGAAUUCCUGGUGUAGCGGUGAAAUGCGCAGAUAUCAGGAGGAACACCGGUGGCGAAGGCGGGUCUCUGGGAAACAACUGACGCUGAGGAACGAAAGCGUGGGUAGCAAACAGGAUUAGAUACCCUGGUAGUCCACGCCGUAAACGGUGGGCGCUAGGUGUGGGUUCCUUCCACGGGAUCUGUGCCGUAGCUAACGCAUUAAGCGCCCCGCCUGGGGAGUACGGCCGCAAGGCUAAAACUCAAANAA
rnacentral:rRNA from 1 species